AUGAAGAUCUGGACUUCAGAGCAUAUCUUUGACAACCCAUGGGACACUGUUACAACAGCUGCAGUGCAGAAACAUCCAAACCCUAGGAACCCAAGAAUGGUUGGAUUUGACGUACUGAACAGAAAUACAGGUCCCUCUGGAAAGUUGUAGAGCCAUAGACUUUUCUACAGAGAGUGGGAACUGCCUUCCAUUACGAAUUCU
rnacentral:lncRNA from 1 species